CUUGGGAACUUAAGAGCACCUCUUGUUUUAAAAAUCUGAUUUUCUGAUACACGGAACUGCAGCCCUCUACUCAGCCUUUCCGAGCUGCUUUAGCACCUUCUUCAAAGCUGCCUGCAAUUAGGUCUCUUGUUAGAAGAGAAAUAAUAUUACUUGAAACCCAAACCCCCUGUGAUUGUGCCCCAGAGGCAAUACUUGUAGAACGAUGGAGAAGGUCAGCAGCAACACUGCAAACGCUUCCUGUAAUUUCAGAGAACCGGAGGAGAAAAAGGAUGGGUGAAAUCCUGCGGCAGCUGCUAGAGGAGCGAAGGCACAGAAGCGAGCCUGGAGACAGCCGAUGAUGUAGGAAUCUCUGCUACCCUAUUAAAAAAAAAAAAAAAAAAAAAGAGGCCCAGGGUCGAAGCCUGUAGGAGUAGAAAUUAACACUUGGACAAUCGUCUUACGUGCCUUCUGGUUUCUGCAGUGCGUUUAAAAGCAGACAGGCUUUCACUGGAUGUCAUUGUUAAAACAAGUUUUAUGAUCCUCUGUGGCAUGACUUGACAUCUCAAUACUCGGGGUUGGCAAUGCAAUAAAGUUCUGUUAUGUAAUUAUUCUUGGUUAUUUCUAAGUAUUAAUUUGGAUGGCAAGCUGAUUCAGCUAGCCCAAACCCUGGACCACAGGGGAAGAUGGGAAUUUCAUCAAAUUGACACCAAAGGGCUGGAGUUAGCAAUGGUCUUAUUUAAAGCCUUCACGCAGAUGAAUCCAGAGGAAGCUGCAAUUAUUCCUCUCCUUUAAAGAAUCACAAGAGCAAGUAAACAGCACAGCAUGUGACUGAGACAAUUCUGCCAUUUCUAUUAAUUAAGUGUAAAAUAGUGAAAACAAAGGAUAUUAUUAAACAUGUCAACAGAAAAUUAAACCAGGGGCGGAUUCUUGACAAACUGAGCUCAAUCUAAAGAAAAAAAAAUAAUCUGAA